rnacentral:rRNA from 1 species
CGGGGGCAACUCCGGUUCAGUGGCAGACGGGUGCGUAACACGUGAGGAACCUGUCCGACGGCGGGGGAUAGCCGGCCCAACGGCCGGGUAAUACCGCAUCCGCUCGCUCGGGGGCAUCCCCGGGCGAGGAAAGCAGCCGCAAGGUUGCUGCCGACGGAGGGUCUCGCGGCCUAUCAGCUUGUUGGCGGGGUAACGGCCCACCAAGGCGACGACGGGUAGCUGGUCUGAGAGGAUGCCCAGCCACAUUGGGACUGAGACACGGCCCAGACUCCUACGGGAGGCAGCAGUGGGGAAUCUUGCGCAAUGGCCGCAAGGCUGACGCAGCGACGCCGCGUGUGGGAUGACGGCCUUCGGGUUGUAAACCACUGUCAGGGGGAACGAAUACCGGGCCGCGAAUAGCGGACCCGGGGUGACGGUACCUCCAAAGGAAGCACCGGCUAACUCCGUGCCAGCAGCCGCGGUAAUACGGAGGGUGCGAGCGUUGUCCGGAAUCACUGGGCGUAAAGGGCGCGUAGGCGGCUCGCUAAAUGAGCUGGUGAAAUCCCGGGGCUCAACUCUGGGGCGGCCGGUCAGACUGACGGGCUCGAGCACGGUUAAAGGCAGAUGGUAAUUCCCGGUGUAGCGGUGGAAUGCGU